ACACCAGGUCACCUCUGAUCACUUUAAGGACAUCAGCAUUGUCUUCCUCAACAUAUCUCCCAAAGCCUUGAUGAAAAGAAUCUCUCCUGGACAUUUCCAGAGUAGAUGGUGGUUCUUCCCCCAAAUUACAAGGAAUGGAGGCUGGGAAACUACAUUUCUGAGACUCCUUCAUCAUCAGGAUGCCAGAUAAUAUUUUAAGUAAGGAAAAUAAAAUUAACUUUUCUGGGGCGAGAUGACAGACGAAUGUGCAAAGGCUUUCCUGUUUUCAAGAAGCAGUUUCUUACACUAUGCUUUUUAUUCACGUUAAAUGAA
rnacentral:lncRNA from 10 species